CUACUGACCUUCCUAGCUCUGAGCUUUGUUCUUUCCCUUUGACAUUUCAUAAAACUUAAACCUAUUCCUCGUUCUGCCUGACCACGUAUCCCAUGAUUUGUGGGAACUUCUCUACUCAUCGGAUAAUAUGGAUCCAGACCUUCCUGAUCAUCGGACUGACAUGACCAACAGGGUUUUUUUCCCAACCUUAGGGUUUUUCCCCAUUUCUGCACAAUCUUCUGUAAUUAUCUAGAGGUCAGACAGGGACGGGGAUUAUCCCACUUUCUCCUAUCAGAUCUUUGUCUGCUACCUCAGGUUAGUGAAUCUAACACAGGGAAUCAAGGUUUGAUACUGUAGAGGGAGUCUGAGAAACGGCUACCACAUCCAAAGAAGUCAGCAGGCCACACCUGACUCAUGGAGAUAGUGAUGAAAAAUAACAGUGCAGGACUCUUAGGAGGCCCAGUAAUUAUUAGAAUGAGUGCUAUUUAAAUCCAUUAGCAAGAAUCCAUCAGAGGGCAAGUCUGGUGCCAGUAUCUGCCAUAUUUCCAGCUGAAAUAGCGUAUCUGAAAGUUGCUGCAGUUAAAAAUGCAUGUAGUUGGAUUUAGCUAUAAAGUUGGUAGUCCGCUGUAAAGUGAACAACUGUUUAUCCCAUCAUCUGUCUCUCAGCGCCCCCUUGAUGCACUUGACUGAGUGUCGUGGGGGUCCAAAGAUUUUACUUAGACUAAAUCAGAGUGUUUAAAGGAGGCUGGUUGCCUGAAUACCUGAGCCAUGAUUAAUUGAAUAUGACUAUGCUUCUAGUAUGUUGAUUGGUGAAACUGUAGCCAUGAUGAAGAGGCACAGCUGGUGGCCUUCAUAAUGUGUCACUAGAGUUGUAAGUCGUGGAAUGGGCCGAGAUGAUCCAAAGUGAAAGCAUUUGCCAAGAAUGCCUUCAACAAUCCAGAGUGAAAGUCUGAGGUUUGAAGAUGAUCAGAUACCGCCAUAGCUCCGACCAUAAAUGAUGCUGACUAGCUAUCUGGUGGCAUUAUUCCCAUUACUCACAGAGUGGCUUCUGUGAAAGCAUGGUCUCAUGAUUCUGGGGUGAUUAUGCCUGCAAAGUAGAAACAUAAAUGAAUAGAUGAAGGGCACCACCAGGAGUGGAACCUGUGGCUUGAAUUGGCCUAACAUGGGAAAGCUCACCUGGCCUGGGUACGGAAAGGAUUGUCAGAUGGCUGGCUCUGUUUCAAUUCUGUGGGUUUAGGUGUAUGGCCAUUGUUAGUUUGACGGAUCGAUUUGUGUGGUCAUUUAUGAUAAUAAACGAGACCACAUAGUCAUGUGACCUACAGUGGUUGGCGUUCAACUUCUUAGAGGCACAAGUGGUGUUCAGCCACACAAGACCAAGCAGGAACAGUUCUGUGAUGUCCUUAGAGAUCUCUGGAUGCACCUGUGCCACACUGAACAGAUCACUGUGUGUCUGCCCUUCACCGACACAUGCAGGACACCUGCUGAACCCUUUGUGAUAGGGAUUGGGGAUAGCAAUCUAUUCACAUGAAUGAGGAAUUCCCAGCAAGUGCAGGUAUUUAUUUUACGUUGAUGAAGUUCAUUCGCUUUGUACACACUGCCUGUUUCCACUACCGAUUGGAUGGUUCAAUGAGGUCCUCAGAUUGGCCCCCACUGUAGUCAGCAGCAUCCCUGAUGGUGCACAUAGAAGACAAUCAAAUAUGACUAUCAAGAGGGAGUGUAAGUCGGAGAAAGGUUCCUGUAUAUGAACCUUUCGGAA
rnacentral:rRNA from 1 species